UCUGCUAAUGAACAGUCAGUGCUGUGAGCAUAAACAUUCAUCAUAGUCCCAGAGUGGAAGGACUGUGGUAGUAUCUGGCUUUGCAAAAACUCUCCUUUCUUUACACCCAUGUGCAUAUUUAGCCCAAUCAUACCCCGUGAUGUUUCUGGAGGUGGAGUGUGUACUGUGAGAAGAAAGAGCAAAGGGCAUCUCUUGCCAAGGACACAGCUCAAAUGCCUUGGUGACCUCUUCUCAGAGUGUCAUAACUUUGCUCCAGAGGCAGCUGCGGGAAGGCUUGCUGUAUCCACAGCUCCUAAGGGAAGGCAGCGAAGAUCAUAGGAACCAUCCCAUGCCCUGCCCCAGCCACAGGCAACAAGAGAUGUCUGGGAGAAGACUACCAAAAAGUACCAAAACCAGAACAGUAUUGUCCACUGGGGGCUGGGCAUCCACCGUGACACGAGGUUGGCUGGCAAAUUGAGGAGAUUAAUUGCAUGGCUUCCACUGUCCCUCAACACAGGAGCUCAGGAAUCCUGGUACCAUGGAGUUGUGACCACAGGAGCCUGCAAAUCGUGAAAGAACACUUAAGCACAGGACUCCAACUACAAAUAAAAAUACGUCUUUGUGGAAA